GGGAAGGUAGCUCAGUGGUAGAGAGCUUGCCUUGCAUGCAUGAGGUCCUGGGUUCGAUUCCUCAGCACCA
rnacentral:tRNA from 1 species